rnacentral:rRNA from 1 species
GCACAAGCGGUGGAUGAUGUGGUUAAUUCGAUGCAACGCGAAAACCUUACCCACCUUUGACAUGGCAGGAAUCCCGAAGAGAUUUGGGAGUGCUCGAAAGAGAACCUGCACACAGGUGCUGCAUGGCUGUCGUCAGCUCGUGUCGUGAGAUGUUGGGUUAAGUCCCGCAACGAGCGCAACCCUUGCCAUUAGUUGCUACGAAAGGGCACUCUAAUGGGACUGCCGGUGUCAAACCGGAGGAAGGUGGGAUGACGUCAAGUCCUCAUGGCCCUUAUGACCAGGGCUACACACGUGCUACAAUGGCCGGUACAAUAGGUUGCGAAGCCGCGAGGCGGAGCCAAUCCUCAAAGCCGGCCCCAGUUCAGAUUGCAGGCUGCAACCCGCCUGCAUGAAGAUGGAGUUGCUAGUAACCGCAGGUCAGCUAUACUGCGGUGAAUACGUUCCCGGGGCUU